CAGCAAGGAGAAGCAAAAAAAGCAUUGGAAGUUAUUCAGAAGCCUUCUGUACCUAUAGAUCUUCAGUAUAAGUUUGCUCCGGACCUUAUUGCCCUUGAUGCAUAUGAAACCGUGGAAUCAUGGAUAGCUACAAAGAAUCUGAAUCCAAGGAAACUGAUUCCUGCAAUGAUGCGUUAUUCAAGUGAACCACAUGCAAAGAAUGAGACACAUGAAGUCAUUAAAUAUCUUGAAUAUUGUGUUCAUCGAUUACAUAAUGAAGAUCCUGGAGUUCAUAAUCUGCUACUUUCUUUAUAUGCAAAACAGGUUGCUUUAUACAUCCAUGAUCCAUGUACUUCUGAUAUGGUGAUUAUUAAGGGUGUUUCACAUUCCUACUAUAUUAUG